rnacentral:rRNA from 1 species
GAUGAACGCUGGCGGCGUGCCUAAUACAUGCAAGUCGAGCGAACAGAUAAGGAGCUUGCUCCUUUGACGUUAGCGGCGGACGGGUGAGUAACACGUGGGUAACCUACCUAUAAGACUGGGAUAACUUCGGGAAACCGGAGCUAAUACCGGAUAAUAUUUCGAACCGCAUGGUUCGAUAGUGAAAGAUGGUUUUGCUAUCACUUAUAGAUGGACCCGCGCCGUAUUAGCUAGUUGGUAAGGUAACGGCUUACCAAGGCGACGAUACGUAGCCGACCUGAGAGGGUGAUCGGCCACACUGGAACUGAGACACGGUCCAGACUCCUACGGGAGGCAGCAGUAGGGAAUCUUCCGCAAUGGGCGAAAGCCUGACGGAGCAACGCCGUGUGAGUGAUGAAGGUCUUCGGAUCGUAAAACUCUGUUAUUAGGGAAGAACAUACGUGUAAGUAACUGUGCACGUCUUGACGGUACCUAAUCAGAAAGCCACGGCUAACUACGUG